AAUGAUAAUAAAGAUUCUAUCUUUCUAUCUAUGCCUUUAGAAAGGAUUAAAUAGUUUGUAUUUGAUUUCAUGUCUUUGCAAAACUUUCGACAGAUGGUGACCCUUUUUUGUUUUUGGGGCUGGAAGUCUUUGUUAAGCUCAGCAUUGUUCUAACUUUCAGAUCUGACCGGUCGUGGCCUCAGUCCGGGGUCCGAGUUGAUGGUUCAACGCUGCAGUUUCUGAGCAUCACCUCCGAGCUGAACGGCCUCUACCAGUGCGAGGCGUCGAACUCGUAUGGGAGUAAACGUGCUUACCUCCGUGUGCAUUUCACCUCAGGAUCCUGCACUGCCAGUUGGACCCUCUUUGUUCUUCUGCUCGUCCUCGUUGUUGCUGCUGUCUUGUGUUGCUUCUAUAAACGUAUGGAAAUUGCAAGAUUCAUACUACGGGAAGAAGGCGGCACACGAGGCAAGAGGCAAAAGGUUCCAACGACUUCCAGCUCACCUGAAGGCCAUGACAGAGUAGAAGAAGAUGGAGGGGAAACAGAGGGAGAGCUUUGAAAUCAGUCGAAGCAACAGAAGAGGAUCACAGCUGGACUGAAGGUGAUUUGCAGACUUCCAACACUAUUCAUUCCUGACGCAGCCGUUAGUGAAAAUAGGCAGUAUUCCUGGUGCUUUACAUUUUGUUGAUGUCAUUGACAUUGGUUUUAAAAAUAGCCAAUUUCUCAAUUCAGAUAUUUAAAGUUAUUGUUUCCAAAUAUUACAACUGAACAGCUAGUAGUAUUAUCAAAAAAAGAAUGUCAAAAAUGAACCUGAAGGUUAAGAGCUUUUCUGAA